rnacentral:tRNA from 1 species
CCCGACGUAGCCAAGUGGUAAGGCGGUGGACUUUGAAUCCGUGAUGCGCAGGUUCGAUCCCUGCUGUCGGGU